rnacentral:rRNA from 1 species
UACGGAGGGUGCAAGCGUUAUCCGGAUUCACUGGGGUUAAAGGGUGCGUAGGUGGCUUUGUAAGUCAGUGGUGAAAUCUUAGAGCUUAACUCUAAAACUGCCAUUGAUACUGCUUAGCUUGAAUCAAGUAGCGGUGGAUGGAAUAAUACAUGUAGCGGUGAAAUGCUUAGAUAUGUAUUAGAACACCGAUUGCGAAGGCAGUUCACUAUGCUUGUAUUGACACUGAGGCACGAAAGCGUGGGGAUCAAACAGG